rnacentral:lncRNA from 1 species
UGUAUUAAUCACAUAUAAGAAUGUGUAGAGAAAGAUAGUAAAGGUAGAUAAAAUAGAGUCCUUAAUGAACUCACGGGGACAUGAUGCGUUCAAAAGCACAACGUACUUUUAAUCAACUCUUCAAGGUUUGUUUUUACUUUUUAACAAAUCCAUUUUUUAUAUGAAUUGUCAAUCGUAGCUUUCUUGUUCGUUUAAAAUAUCAGAGCUUAAAUGUUCUUUGAACAGUUUUGCAUAGCAGUUUUCAAAAAAAUAUAUAAACUUAGGUCAACUGGAACCCCACAAAAAAGUGUUACUCCUGUUUAAAUUAGUUGGUGAAACGUUUUCAGCGAUUUGGCAUCAUACAAUUGCAGACUAAUUAAUCAAGCUGUUACUAAAUUUAUUAAUCAGUAGAAGAUGGAUGUCUCUAACAUAACUUUAUAACUAUAAAAAUCUAAGUCUGAUGUAAAUUAUGCAAACAUUGAAGGUUUAGAAUAUUUAAAAAAGGUAUAUAAUCCUGGUACUUUUGAUAACUAUAUCAGUGUUACUUUUUAGUAUUGUGUUUCUGUUGUGUCGUUGUUCUCCUCUUAUUUUUUUAUGUGUUUCCUUCAGUUUCAGUUUUUAACCUGGAUUUGUUUUUUUUUUCAAUCGAUUUUUAAAGAAUUUCGAACAGCGGUAUACUACUGUUGCCUUUAUUUAUAGGUGAUUGUAUUGGCAUGCAUUUUAUUCGUUGUGUUCGUGCAGACUGAAAACAAUCAAGCCGAGGGUGUAAUUUUCAGAUAUAUUCCCUACGCAGUAAGUAGUUUAACAUUACGUCAUUAUUAUUUAUAGAUUUUAAACCUAUAGAUAUCAAAGUUCAAAUUCAACACAGAAAGGAGCUAUAUUUCAAGGAGACAGCAAGUUAACGAUAAAAUAAAUCUAAAGACAACGUCCAAGUCAUUCAUAAAACAAAUGAACAAUUGAACGAAAUACACGCUGCUAUAGAGGGGGCGAAAGAUACCAGCGGGACAAUCAAACUCAUAAAUCGAAAAUAAACUUUUAGCCAUGGCUAAAAAUAAAAAUUACAAACAGACAAAUAAAAGCACACAGGAGAGGGUCGUGCAUUUCUUUGUGGGGUAUUUAUAAAUACGCAAACACGUUCGGUAGGACUGCAGACGUUAGAAAAACGACGGUUGGACGAGAUAAAUUAACGUUGUCUGCAUGUUGAAUUGACCUUAGUACAUAUAUUUGAAGGUUUCACAGGUCGACAGUUACAUUGUAAAAUUUCUUACCAGCUACAACAUACCUCGUAUAUUCAAAUUUAAGUGUUAAUACAACCCUUUUUCUUUCUUUAAGUUUGCAGAACAUAUCAAAUGAAAACAUUGUUAAUUUGUUCUCUACCUGCUUAACAUAAAAUAAUAGCCAUUGGAUGUUCACCAUGCAGCAGUAAACUAAUUAAUAAAUCUUUGAAAAUUACUUUUUUAUGGUACAGUCAACGGUUGUAGUCACUCUAAUUAAGACAACGGAGUAAGUUCGGUAAGGGCUAUAUUUGGCCCCGAUUAUAAAAUUGGAUGGUACAAGAUAAAAUUUGUUUUAAGCUGUGAGAAAGUUACAUGUUACUAUUUAAGUCAAAGUUUAAUUUUAAAGCCUGGAUUUCUAAAUUCAAAAUAGGUCAACAUUAUAGAUUUUGAUGAAAUUUGACAAAAUUGGUCGGAUUUCAAUCAAAUUUUGGAGCAGGAAACAUAGAGUGCAGGCGUCGACGACAAACUUAAUAUUCAAGUUGAACAUGUCAAAUGUCAGUAUGAACAUUGUGUUCAAAGAUCUUUUUUGUCGAUGUAUGCGCUCUAUGCUUCCUCGCCAAUAAUCAAUGCAAUUUUCAUUGAUUUUCCGUGGAAAAUAAAAAUGAGUACUGUUUGUGACGUCAUCAGUAGAACGCAGGAACGUGAAUUUUUAACAAAAAGGCUUAUUUCCUAUCCAGUCAAUAUCUUAGCUAUGAUUCAUUGUGAUAUUGAUCAAUAAAUCAUAAUUUGAAAUUUAAGGUAAAAAAGAGGGCUCUUUUAUGGCCUUAUCGAACCUACAUUGUAUUCAUUUGUCUAUCGUAUAAGCCGUAUACAUUUUUUGUUUUAAGUCAUGUGGCGUGAAUGUAUUUUAGAAUCAUUUGUUCGCAGUUCGAAAGGAUAAACAGGGAUGCUUCUUUUACAACACCACUAUACAAGAGAGAGCACAAAUACAUCACCCAGUAGACGUCUAUGCUUUUGAGGUACGGCUAGAAUUACUUUUCUAAUAUUCAGUAAUGUUGUUUUUUUAGGUUUAAGGUAUCAUGAACAUUUAAAUUAGUGAUUCGACCAUUUUCUUACAUUGAUUUUUAUCUUUUAUUAUUCAAUACUACUAUCGAGAGUUUCUUCAAAUGAAAAAAAAUGUAAUCUCAAAAUGAAUGAAAAAAAAAGUCACAAAGUGCAGUAUUCUUACCAGUAUGACCUUCGUUUAAUUGUAAAAAACUAGAUUGUACUCAAAACUAUAAGAUUUAAAGUAAGCGGUGAAAUCGAACAUAACAUAAGUAUAUACUGUUUACAGAUAAAAGAGAUUAAAAAAAUGAAAACAACACGCAAAAUGUUCAUGCAUCCGAAACUCUUUUCUUUCUCUUUCUUUUGCCUUCAUCAGGAACGCGAUCAAAGCCAAAAAUGCAAAAGCCGAGGAUUUAUAAGCACCCCAAAAAUUAAAUACACAUAUAAAAAAAGAUUUAAAAGUUGUUAAUUUAAAAAAAAAACAUAGUGCCUAUCCAUUAAAUUAUCAUAGUGGUAAUGUUUUGUUGUUGCUUAUACUUUGCUUUAUUUUUGCAGUUAAAAGUCUUGAAAAUGGUACAAAACUACACUUCAUACUUUAGAGCGGCAUCUAAGACUCUCUAUCAUACUGAUCAUGAUAUCAAAAUAUACAUAAACUUUUGUAACAAGGGAACCUAUCCUGUAUGGCUAUUUAAAGGUCAUACAUAGCAUUUUCGUAUUUUUUUACGAAUCCGAAAUAUAUGUUUAGUGUUUAUAAAUUAAACAUUAUAGACUA